rnacentral:rRNA from 1 species
AGUGAACGCUGGCGGUAGGCCUAACACAUGCGAGUCGAACGGCAGCACAGUAAGAGCUUGCUCUUACGGGUGGCGAGUGGCGGACGGGUGAGGAAUACAUCGGAAUCUACUUUUUCGUGGGGGAUAACGUAGGGAAACUUACGCUAAUACCGCAUACGACCUACGGGUGAAAGCAGGGGAUCUUCGCACCUUGCGCGAUUGAAUGAGCCGCUGUCGGAUUAGCUAGUUGGCGGGGUAAAGGCCCACCAAGGCGACGAUCCGUAGCUGGUCUGAGAGGAGGGUCGGCCACACUGGAAGUGGGACGCGGUCCAGACUCCUGCGGGAGGCAGCAGUCGGGAAUGUGGGACAGUGGGCGCAAGCAUUAUCCAGCCAUACGGCGUGGGUGAAGAAGGCCUUCGGGUUGUAAAGCCCUUUUGUUGGGAGAGAAAAGCAGCAGGUUGAUACCCCGCUGUUCUGACGGUACCCAGAGAAUAAGCACCGGCUAACUUCGUG